GACGAACGCUGGCGGCGUGCCUAAUACAUGCAAGUCGAACGCUGAAGAGAGGAGCUUGCUCUUCUUGGGUGAGUCGCGCACGGGUGAGUAACGCGUAUGUAACCUGCCUUGUAGCGGGGGAUAACUAUUGGAAACGAUAGCUAAUACCGCAUAACAAUGGAUGACACAUGGCAUGUAGUUGAAAGGGGCAAUUGCUCGAUUAACAGAUGGCCCUGCGUUGUAUUAGCUGGUAGGUGAGGUAAUGGCUCAUCUAGGCGAGGUUACAUCGCCCCCCUGAGAGGGUGAUCGGCCACACUGGGACGGUGACACGGCCCAGACGCCCUCGGGAGGCGGCCAGAGGGAAUCUGCGGCAAGGGGGGCAACACUGACCGAGCAACGCCGCGGGAGGGAAGAAGGUUGUCGGGUCGUAAAGCUCUGUUGUAAGUCAAGAACGGGUGUGAGAGUGGAAAGUUCACACUGUGACGGUAGCUGACCAGAAAGCGACGGCUAACUACGUG
rnacentral:rRNA from 1 species